AUUGAACGCUGGCGGCAUGCCUUACACAUGCAAGUCGAACGGCAGCACGGGGGCAACCCUGGUGGCGAGUGGCGAACGGGUGAGUAAUGCAUCGGAACGUGCCCAGUAGUGGGGGAUAACCAGUCGAUAGAAUGGCUAAUAACGCAUACGACCCAAGGGUGAAAGCGGGGGACCGUAAGGCCUCGCGCUAUUGGAGCGGCCGAUGUCUGACUAGCUAGUUGGCGGGGUAAGAGCCCACCAAGGCGACGAUCAGUAGCUGGUCUGAGAGGACGACCAGACACACGGGGACGGAGACACGGCCCAGGCUCCUACGGGAGGCAGCGGUGGGGAAUUUUGGACAAUGGGCGCAAGCCUGAUCCAGCCAUGCCGCGUGCGGGAAGAAGGCCUUCGGGUUGUAAACCGCUUUUGGCAGGAACGAAACGGCGCAAGCCAAUACCUUGCGCUAAUGACGGUACCCGCAGAAUAAGCACCGGCUAACUACGUGCCAGCAGCCGCAGUAACAC
rnacentral:rRNA from 1 species